GAGAAGAACGUAGCGAAAUGCGAUACUUGGUGUGAAUUGCAGAAUCCCGUGAACCAUCGAGUCUUUGAACGCAAGUUGCGCCCGAAGCCAUUAGGCCGAGGGCACGCCUGCCUGGGCGUCACACGUCGUUGCCCCCCCAUCUACUCCUUCGGGAUUGCGGGGGGCGGAUGAUGGCCUCCCGUGCGCCUCGUCGCGCGGUUGGCAUAAAUGCCAAGUCCUCGGCGACGCACGCCACGACAAUCGGUGGUUGCGAAACCUCGGUUGCCCGUCGUGUGCGGUCGUCGCGCAACGAGGGCUCGAAAAAAUUGCCGGGCUCCGGCUCGGCUUUCAACGCGACCCCAGGUCAGGCGGGGUUACCCGCUGAAUUUAAGCAUAUCAAUAAGCGGAGGA
rnacentral:misc_RNA from 1 species